rnacentral:tRNA from 1 species
GGGACAUUGGUCUAGUGGUAUGAUACUCGCUUAGGGUGCGAGUGGUCGUGGGUUCGAUUCCCACAUGUCCCC